rnacentral:ncRNA from 1 species
GGGAAGUAUGGUUGCAAAGUUGAAACUUAAAGGACUUGACGGAAGGGCACCACCAGGAGUGGAGCAUGCGGCUUAAUUUGACUCAACACGGGUAAACUUGCCAGGUUAGAACUUAUUGAAGUAAGACAGAUUAAUAGCUCUUUCUCAAAAUCAAGGGUAGUGGUUCAGGGCCGUUCUUAUUUCGUGGAAUGAUUUGUCUGGUUAAUUCCAAUAACGAACGUGACUCCAUCAAAUUAAAUAGAACGCUAUCAGCAGUCAGAUGUUUGAUACCGACGGAUCGGGCAACGGUCGCUCGCGGCUCGCGCUCGGCCAGCGGUGUAGUGUGACCUGAUGAUACGUCACCCCAUCGUGGUUGACCUCGCUACAAUGUGCGCAGCAACACGUAUCCUUGCCCGAAAGGGCCGGGAAAUCGCUUAAAUGCGCAUGGCCGGGUAAAGGCACAUACUAGGGUCGAAAGCCUUAGUAUGGGCAAUAGACCUGUUCACUUUUUUUUUUUGACCUACCCGUGUCACAUCAAAUUAUCAAUCUACAUGCAAAAACAAGUCUUCAGUCCAAAAAUGAGCCAAAUUGAUAAAGGUUUAGAGGUGUAUCAAAUCGAUUUUGUGUUUUUUCUAGCAUUUUCACGAAAAUGUACUCCAAUAUCUUUGGGCAUUCAAAACAUAUUAAGGUUUACUCACAAAACUAUCAGAUAAAAAAUAAUGAAAGCGAAAUUAAAUCACGAAAUCAAAUCAAAUAUUGAGAACUAGGUAUGAGCAAAUUGAAUACACGAGAUACUACUAAAUAUUCAUUUCAUUUAUUUAGUUAACAUCAAAUGCAUGAUAAUACUGAAUCAACAAUUUGCCGCCAUAACACUCGAUUUGCAGCUGCAGCUCUCCAACGUC